rnacentral:misc_RNA from 1 species
GAUGAAGAACGCAGCGAAAUGCGAUAAGUAAUGUGAAUUGCAGAAUUCAGUGAAUCAUCGAAUCUUUGAACGCACAUUGCGCCCGCCAGUAUUCUGGCGGGCAUGCCUGUUCGAGCGUCAUUACAACCCUCAGGCCCCCGGGCCUGGCGUUGGGGAUCGGCGGAAGCCCCCUGCGGGCACAACGCCGUCCCCCAAAUACAGUGGCGGUCCCGCCGCAGCUUCCAUUGCGUAGUAGCUAACACCUCGCAACUGGAGAGCGGCGCGGCCACGCCGUAAAACACCCAACUUCUGAAUGUUGACCUCGAAUCAGGUAGGAAUACCCGCUGAACUUAAGCAUAUCAAUAAGGGAGGA